rnacentral:rRNA from 1 species
UGAAGCCUUUCGGGGUGGAUUAGUGGCGAACGGGUGAGUAACACGUGGGCAAUCUGCCCUUCACUCUGGGACAAGCCCUGGAAACGGGGUCUAAUACCGGAUAACACUCUGUCCCGCAUGGGACGGGGUUAAAAGCUCCGGCGGUGAAGGAUGAGCCCGCGGCCUAUCAGCUUGUUGGUGGGGUAAUGGCCUACCAAGGCGACGACGGGUAGCCGGCCUGAGAGGGCGACCGGCCACACUGGGACUGAGACACGGCCCAGACUCCUACGGGAGGCAGCAGUGGGGAAUAUUGCACAAUGGGCGAAAGCCUGAUGCAGCGACGCCGCGUGAGGGAUGACGGCCUUCGGGUUGUAAACCUCUUUCAGCAGGGAAGAAGCGAGAGUGACGGUACCUGCAGAAGAAGCGCCGGCUAACUACGUGCCAGCAGCCGCGGUAAUACGUAGGGCGCAAGCGUUGUCCGGAAUUAUUGGGCGUAAAGAGCUCGUAGGCGGCUUGUCACGUCGGAUGUGAAAGCCCGGGGCUUAACCCCGGGUCUGCAUUCGAUACGGGCUAGCUAGAGUGUGGUAGGGGAGAUCGGAAUUCCUGGUGUAGCGGUGAAAUGCGCAGAUAUCAGGAGGAACACCGGUGGCGAAGGCGGAUCUCUGGGCCAUUACUGACGCUGAGGAGCGAAAGCGUGGGGAGCGAACAGGAUUAGAUACCCUGGUAGUCCACGCCGUAAACGUUGGGAACUAGGUGUUGGCGACAUUCCACGUCGUCGGUGCCGCAGCUAACGCAUUAAGUUCCCCGCCUGG